rnacentral:miRNA from 1 species
ACAAAAGUAAUCGCGGUUUUUGUCAUUAAUAGUAAUGGCAGAAACCGCGAUUACUUUUGC